rnacentral:rRNA from 1 species
UACGUAGGGGGCAAGCGUUAUCCGGAUUUACUGGGUGUAAAGGGAGCGUAGACGGUUGUAUAAGUCUGGAGUGAAAGCCCGGGGCCCAACCCCGGGACUGCUUUGGAAACUGUGUAACUUGAGUACAGGAGGGGCAGGCGGAAUUCCUGGUGUAGCGGUGAAAUGCGUAGAUAUCAGGAGGAACACCGGCGGCGAAGGCGGCCGCCUGGCCUGUUGCUGACGCUGAGGCACGAAAGCGUGGGGAGCAAAUAGG